rnacentral:tRNA from 1 species
AAUAUAGCUCAGCCUGGUAGAGCACUACGUUCGGGACGUAGGGGUCGCAGGUUCGAAUCCUGCUAUU